CACGUAGGGUGCGAGCGUUGUCCGGAUUCAUUGGGCGUAAAGGGUGCGUAGGCGGCGCGGUAAGUCGGGUGUGAAAUCUCGGAGCUUAACUCCGAAACUGCAUUCGAUACUGCCGUGCUUGAGGACUGGAGAGGAGACUGGAAUUUACGGUGUAGCGGUGAAAUGCGUAGAUAUCGUAAGGAAGACCAGUGGCGAAGGCGGGUCUCUGGACAGUUCCUGACGCUGAGGCACGAAGGCCAGGGGAGCAAACGGG
rnacentral:rRNA from 1 species